rnacentral:rRNA from 1 species
GACGAACGCUGGCGGCGUGCUUAACACAUGCAAGUCGAACGGAAAGGCCCUGCUUUUGUGGGGUGCUCGAGUGGCGAACGGGUGAGUAACACGUGAGUAACCUGCCCUUGACUUUGGGAUAACUUCAGGAAACUGGGGCUAAUACCGGAUAGGAGCUCCUGCUGCAUGGUGGGGGUUGGAACGUUUCGGCGGUUGGGGAUGGACUCGCGGCUUAUCAGCUUGUUGGUGGGGUAGUGGCUUACCAAGGCUUUGACGGAUAGCCGGCCUGAGAGGGUGACCGGCCACAAUGGGACUGAGGUACGGCGCAGACUCCUACGGGAGGCAGCAGUGGGGAAUAUUGCACAGUGGGGGGAAGCCUGAUGAAGCAACGCCGCGUGCGGGAUGACGGCCUUCGGGUUGUAAACCGCAUUCGCCUGUGACGAAGCGUGAGUGACGGUAAUGGGUAAAGAAGCACCGGCUAACUACGUG